AGAGCUACUCAAAGAGUCGCAGAGCAUAGUGGAGAGUCAAAAUCCACCUCACAAAGAACUGUGUUGACGACCAUAACUUCCAAAACAGAGCCGACCCAGAAGUUGGUUUUCUCAGACGAGCACAAAGCCACCAUCUUUGCUGCAGAUCCAAGCUCAGAACCAAGCACUAGAAAAUGAUGAUUGACUAUGCUGUUGUCCCUGUGGCUUCCAGUUUUGGCCUUGAAGAGGAUUACAAAUACUUGAUGAGCUCAAUUAGGGAAUUUUUGACAGAUCAGGUCGCAUAUAUGUGAUCAACACAAAAACAGAUCCAGAAGCUCCCUCUCUGCAUAAAGUUGUUGACCCUGAAGACAUCGUACAGAAGAUUGGAUUGGCAUACCCACACACAUCUCACUGCCUUGCAUCUAGUGAUUUCUUCUCCUUGACUCAGAGUUUAAUGUCAAGGGAAGGUUUCUCAAGCUAUAUUAAGUUCUUUUUUGAAUCAGUUUGUGGAGAGGUUUAUCGUCUGGGAGACUGUCACCUCUUUUAUCGAAAAUGUCCAAGAUAACUGUAUUUCUUGGUCAAGUCAUUGUAUCUGAUGAACUCUGGCUUGGCCUUGACACCUGCUACCACAGUUUGG
rnacentral:lncRNA from 1 species